rnacentral:lncRNA from 1 species
AAUUUUUUGGCGUAAACACUAUUUUUUUUUUUCUUUUUUGGUCUUUUUUGCCUUUUCUAGGGCCGCUCCCGCCGCAUAUGGAGGUUCCCAGGCUAGGGGUCGAAUCGCAGCUGUAGCCACCGGCCUAUGCCACAGCCACAGCAAUGGUGGAUCCAAGCCGCAUCUGCAACCUACACCACAGCUCACGGCAACGUCGGAUCCCUAACCCACUGAGCAAGGCCAGGGAUCGAACCCCCAACCUCAUGGUUCCUAGUUGGGUUCGUUAACCACUGCGCCACGACGGGAACUGCUGGAGUCAACACUGCUAAAACUCGCUUGGGGAAGAAAAAGAAGUGUGAGGCUCAAAUGCUUGUCUCAACAGAAUCAACUUCUACAGUAAAAUGCACAUUUCCAAAGGGAAAUACCUGAGCCAAACUAAACUGACAAGGCGUGUUUGCGUAAAUGUAAAAGGAACAUUUUCAUGGUCUAUUUUUAACUUUUGAUGCACAAUCAACUGCUAAAGGCUAUUUUGGGUGGUCGGAACUGUGGCUUUGAAGACCCUGUAUUUUGCUUUAUCAGCCAGAUCUGAAAAGAGAAGCUGCGUUAUCGUCAGAUGCUGGAUGAAUGGGUUUUGCUCAUUGAUGAGAUUAUGCUAUGGUGAUUUUACAAGCAUAAGUGGAAGGAGGCCAGGGACACAGGCUGCCGAAGUGGCCUAGAAAAGUCAGGAAGCAGUCGUGCAGAUUGUGGGGAAGCCCAGGACGAGAAGACUGUCUGGCCUCGGGGCUGGAACUCAGAAAAUGUCCAGCGCUCAUAGCCUUCAGAAAGACAGGUGAUAGGAAGCCCUGGAGUUCAAGGCGAAGCUGCUCGGAGGGGGAAGGGCAGAAAGAAAGUCACCAGAAGGCAGUCAAAAGGUCAAAAGUGGUGGUGUCUUCACAGCCUUUCAGAGUCAAAAGGGUCGAAGAUGGAACGCAGGUAUUCACGCAACAAAGAAGGACUGAGGCUUGUCAACCUCUCCGGCAGAACCUCAUCGACGUAUUAGGCACCCAUUCGCACUGGGCAUUGGGGACAAAUCGGUGACAAGGGACGUUAUCAUGGAGCGUCCAAGUCUCGUGGGAGAGGCAAAUCAUCAGAUAAUGCUGCAACCUCUCGCAAAUGUGGGAUUGUGAUAAGACUGUACAGGACAGACACAGCGCCAUGAGUUCUUACAGUAGAGGGGAUGUGACCUGGUUGGUCCGGAAAACGAGGGAGCAUUUUACCUUUUUUUUUUUUUUUGGCCACACCUGGGGUAUACAGAAAUUCCUGGACCAGGGAUAGAACCCACACCACAACAGGGACAACGCCAGGUCCUCAACCCGCUGUACCACGAGGGAACUCCUUUUUCACUUUUUUUUUCUUUUCUUUGAGAGGAUGCAAAAGCUAAGAAGAAAUUAACAAGGCGGAAGUUCCUGUGUGGUUC